rnacentral:rRNA from 1 species
AUGAAUUGCAUAAGCUGGAACUGCCGGGGGCUUGGGAACCCAGCGGCAGUUCGGGAGCUUCGCAGUAUUGUGAAGCAAGAAGGUCCUGCCCUUGUGUUUAUCAUGGGAACUAAAAUAAGGGCGAAGAAAGUAGAGAAUCUGCGAAAUACUUUGGGAUUUGCAGGAUGUUUUGCGGUCGACAGUAAUGGUCUUAGUGGCGGUGUGGGACUGUUUUGGUCGAGCGAAGUUUCAGUUGAACUGAAAAAUUUUAGUGUGAGCCACAUCGAUGUGGUUGUCACAAAGAUCGGUCUUGAUUCUCCUGGUUGGAGAUUCACUGGUUUCUAUGGAGCUCCAAGAGUGGAAAACCGUCAUCAGAGUUGGCGCUUCAUGAGAACUUUAUUUGGAAUCGAACACCAAGCAUGGAUAUGCGCUGGCGAUUUCAAUGAAACACUUUAUGGUACCGAACACUUCAGCCGUGCUGCACGGCCGGAGUGGCAAAUGCGAGCCUUUCGCGAGGUCAUCGGGGAGUGUGCCCUCCAGGAUCUUGGCUGGGCCAGAGUGGAAUAUAUGUGGGAUAACAUGCAGCAAGGCGAGGCAAACGUCAAAGCUCGCCUAGACAGGGCUGUAGUCAAUUCAGCAAUGCUAAAUUUGUUUGAGGAGUCCAGGGUUAGACAUGUUAGUUCCAUAGAGUCAGAUCACUGUUUUCUUGUAAUUGAAUUGCGCGAGCUCAAUAAUCAUAAAUAUCAGAAAAAAGUGAAACAGUUUCGGUAUGAGAAUGUGUGGCAAUCACAUGCCGAUUAUGAUGACCUUGUCUGUGAAUCAUGGUAG